AUCAAAAUCCUGUUUAUCAGUGAAGUCGGAGUAUAUGAAAAUCUAUCAAAACUUUCAACAACGGAUCUCUUGGUUCUGGCAUCGAUGAAGAACGCAGCGAAAUGCGAUAAGUAAUGUGAAUUGCAGAAUUCAGUGAAUCAUCGAAUCUUUGAACGCACAUUGCGCCCCCUGGUAUUCCGGGGGGCAUGCCUGUUCGAGCGUCAUUA
rnacentral:rRNA from 1 species